GACCAAUAUGUUAUGAAUGGAAAGUCGCUAUCUCGCUCUGCUUCACAAUAUAGUUACACCGUUCAUGUCUUCCAUACCUCCAAGUAAUUUACAUAAGCAUUAUAAUAGCGCGCAUCCCAUAGCAAAUGUUAAUUUUGAUGUAGGCUACCUUAAAGUGUUGCAAGACCCAGAUUUUGGCGGGCUUCUUUCAUCAAUUGGCUCACGCGCUUAAAGCAUUGCUCCCGCCCCCACUCGGUUCCAGAAUAGCCUACUAACAACACCAAAUGUUCGCACCAGACAGAGAAGUGAAACGUCGCGCACUGAGUGACCCCCUUUGUACGUCCUGAUACAAGAGGUGCACAGUGUCCCGAGUUGGGUCCCGGAGCUCUUUUCCAGGUUUUUGUCGGAAUCAUCUUAUUCAAGACAAAGCCCAUCGUCGGCUACCCACCAGAGUACAAGCAGACAAUAUUUCUUAAGCAGCUAGUGGUUCCUGCUAUGGUGAGGGGGAACAUGAAGAAGGCAUAUAUAAGUUGACGGUGAAAGUCUAAAGCGUACAUGCUCCAGGUUAUGUGACAUCCUGGCCAGAACCAUUGACCCUCUUGGGAUUUCUUCGUCUCCACCGAGAAAGCUAGCCAGCAUAUCAUCACUGGACAACCAGAAUCACUGCGUUCAGCGCGAGAGAUUUAAAGAAAACAACAUUUUGCAAAUAGGGAAGGGGUCUAACUGUCCUGCUGGAAAGGAAAGAGAAGAUGGAGGAAAGGGGGGAGAAGAAAAAGAAGAGGACUGAAACGGCCCUGUGACUGAAACGGCCCUGUGUUCCAAAGAGGAGGUUUCAGAGAACUGUGUGUGUGUGUUUGUGUGCGUGUGUUUGUGUGUGUGUGUGUGCGUGCGAGUGUGCUUGUUGUGCGCCUGUGUGUGUGUGCGUGUGUGUCAUUUCACCUGGCCGUUUCGAUGAACCUGGACCACGUUGGACUCCCAACGAAAUCUCAGUCAACUGAAGAACACAGAUACAGUAGUCCAAAGGUUACUGGGAAGGAAUGCAAAGGUUAUUGGGACAGAAUGCCUUUCGGGGGGGGAGGUUUUUUCUUCUGUUUAAGCCAUGGCAAUUAAAAGUAGGCUCCAUUUCAGUACUGCUACUGUUGUCUUAUUCAUUUGGCUACAAUCCUGUCAGGAAAGAAACAGUGAGAAGGUGAAAACUAUUUCAGAUGUGUGUGUGUGUGUGUGUGUGUGUGUGCGCGUGUGUGUGUGUGAAUGUGUGUGUAUACAUUUAAUGGGAACAGACAUGUCCCCGAGCUGUUUUUAAACCAUGUGUGGGUAAAAUUAUAUGUAUGAAUAUCUGGAUUUAAAAACAUUUAAAGUCUCCAAUACAUUUUACACAUUUUAAUACACAGAUCUUUUCCCUAGAAUAAUCAGACAAAAAUCAUGCAUAGCGAUUUUACUGUGUCUAUACAGUGUAUAAUUAUAUUGUAUUUUAGAUACUAACAUUUUUUUAUUUAAUAAAAAAUACUGAAAUAAAUUGCUAUCUGUAGUAAGAGAAAGAAUACAGUGAAUAACCAUUCCUUUAACAAAGUAAGUUUGUUAAAGGAAUGGUUAGAGAGGAUUAAUAUGUGUCUGUGUAUGUAUGUCUUGUUUUUUUUCUGUUUUAAUGUUUGUGUGUGUUUAUGAAUUUGUGAGAUGAGAGAAGAG